GACGAACGCUGGCGGCGUGCCUAACACAUGCAAGUCGAGCGAGUGGAUUUCCUUCGGGAAUGAAGCUAGCGGCGGACGGGUGAGUAACACGUGGGCAACCUACCUCAUAGAGGGGAAUAGCCUCCCGAAAGGGAGAUUAAUACCGCAUAAGAUUGUAGCUUCGCAUGAAGUAGCAAUUAAAGGAGUAAUCCGCUAUGAGAUGGGCCCGCGGCGCAUUAGCUAGUUGGUGGGGUAACGGCUCACCAAGGCGACGAUGCGUAGCCGACCUGAGAGGGUGAUCGGCCACAUUGGGACUGAGACACGGCCCAGACUCCUACGGGAGGCAGCAGUGGGGAAUAUUGCACAAUGGGGGAAACCCUGAUGCAGCAACGCCGCGUGAGUGAUGACGGCCUUCGGGUUGUAAAGCUCUGUCUUCAGGGACGAUAAUGACGGUACCUGAGGAGGAAGCCACGGCUAACUACGUGCCAGCCGCCGCAGUAACAC
rnacentral:rRNA from 1 species